rnacentral:tRNA from 1 species
ACUGGGUUGGCCGAGUGGUUAAGGCGUUGGACUUAAGUUCCAAUGGACAAGUGUCCGCGUGGGUUCGAACCCCCACACCCAGU